ACUGAACGCUGGCGGCAGGCCUAACACAUGCAAGUCGAGCGGAUGAGGGAAGCUUGCUUCCCGAUUUAGCGGCGGACGGGUGAGUAAUGCCUAGGAAUCUGCCUAUUAGUGGGGGAUAACGUUCCGAAAGGAACGCUAAUACCGCAUACGUCCUACGGGAGAAAGUGGGGGAUCUUCGGACCUCACGCUAAUAGAUGAGCCUAGGUCGGUUUAGCUAGUUGGUGGGGUAACGGCUCACCAAGGCGACGAUCCGUAGCUGGUCUGAGAGGAUGAUCAGCCACACUGGAACUGCGAAACGGUCCAGACUCCUACGGGAGGCAGCAGUGGGGAAUAUUGGACAAUGGGCGAAAGCCUGAUCCAGCCAUGCCGCGUGUGUGAAGAAGGUCUUCGGAUUGUAAAGCACUUUAAGUUGGGAGGAAGGGUUGUAAGCUAAUAUCUUGCAGCUUUGACGUUACCAACAGAAUAAGCACCGGCUAACUCUGUGCCAGCAGCCGCCGUAAGAC
rnacentral:rRNA from 1 species